AUUGAACGCUGGCGGCAGGCUUAACACAUGCAAGUCGAGCGGAGCGAGGGUGCUUGCACCUUAGCUUAGCGGCGGACGGGUGAGUAAUGCUUAGGAAUCUGCCUAUUAGUGGGGGACAACAUUCCGAAAGGGAUGCUAAUACCGCAUACGCCCUACGGGGGAAAGCAGGGGAUCUUCGGACCUUGCGCUAAUAGAUGAGCCUAAGUCGGAUUAGCUAGUUGGUGGGGUAAAGGCCUACCAAGGCGACGAUCUGUAGCGGGUCUGAGAGGAUGAUCCGCCACACUGGGACUGAGACACGGCCCAGACUCCUACGGGAGGCAACAGUGGGGAAUAUUGGACAAUGGGGGGAACCCUGAUCCAGCCAUGCCGCGUGUGUGAAGAAGGCCUUAUGGUUGUAAAGCACUUUAAGCGAGGAGGAGGCUCUUUUGGUUAAUACCCAAGAUGAGUGGACGUUACUCGCAGAAUAAGCACCGGCUAACUCUGUGCCAGCAGCCGCCGUAA
rnacentral:rRNA from 1 species